UCAGGAUGAACGCUGGCGGCGUGCUUAACACAUGCAAGUCGAACGAUGAAGCCCAGCUUGCUGGGUGGAUUAGUGGCGAACGGGUGAGUAACACGUGAGCAACCUGCCCCUGACUCUGGGAUAACAGCCGGAAACGGUUGCUAAUACCGGAUAUGCAUCAUGGCCGCAUGGUCUGUGGUGGGAAAGAUUUUUCGGUUGGGGAUGGGCUCGCGGCCUAUCAGCUUGUUGGUGAGGUAGUGGCUCACCAAGGCGUCGACGGGUAGCCGGCCUGAGAGGGUGACCGGCCACACUGGGACUGAGACACGGCCCAGACUCCUACGGGAGGCAGCAGUGGGGAAUAUUGCACAAUGGGCGGAAGCCUGAUGCAGCAACGCCGCGUGAGGGAUGACGGCCUUCGGGUUGUAAACCUCUUUUAGCAGGGAAGAAGCGAAAGUGACGGUACCUGCAGAAAAAGCGCCGGCUAACUACGUGCCAGCAGCC
rnacentral:rRNA from 1 species